UACGGAGGGAGCUAGCGUUAUUCGGAAUUACUGGGCGUAAAGCGCACGUAGGCGGCUUUGUAAGUAAGAGGUGAAAGCCUGGAGCUCAACUCCAGAAUUGCCUUUUAGACUGCAUCGCUUGAAUCAUGGAGAGGUGAGUGGAAUUCCGAGUGUAGAGGUGAAAUUCGUAGAUAUUCGGAAGAACACCAGUGGCGAAGGCGGCUCACUGGACAUGUAUUGACGCUGAGGUGCGAAAGCGUGGGGAGCGAACAGG
rnacentral:rRNA from 1 species